CACCAUUCUACUCUGUUACCAAGAGUUCAACUUCUAUUUUAGAUUCCACAUGUUAGGGAGAUUAUGCAGUAUUUGUCUUUCUGUUUGGCUGAUUUCACUUAGCACAAUGUACUCCAUGUUAACCCACGUUGUUGUAAAUGGUGGGAACUCCAUCUGUCAAUGAACACUUAGGUUGUUUCUGUAUCUUGGCUACUGUGAAUAAUUCUGCAAUGAACCUGGGAGUGCAGAUACUUCUAUAAGCUCUAGUAGUCUGCCCUGAUCCUCAGGGAAUACAUUCCAAGACCCCCAGUUGGUGCCUGACACUGAUACAGACAGGAGGCAGGGAAAUACUGGGUUGAAAAUGGUGGAGUCUCUGGCAAGGGUUCCACCCUAAGUCUGGACUCACGGCCCUAAACGAGAACUUCACAUCCCCAUUUUCCCGCCGGAAUGUUGCUUUUUCCAAAUCCACCCUGUCCUGCUCUGUCCCACACCCUGUACCCAUAAAAAUCUCAAACUCCACUAGCAGAGAAGCAGAGUGUAGUGGCAGAGGAGGAGAGAAGAGAAGCAGCAGCUGGACAUCGGAGAAAAGCAGCUUGACUUUGGAGGGAUGGCUUGAUGGUGGGACUUCACAGAAGAGUUCGACCGUCCUCAGGUGGGACUCCAGGGGAAGAUUAUCUUCCCACUCCAUCCCCCUUCCAGCUUCCCUUCCCUUUGAGAGCCACCUUCACCACUCUAUGAAAUUUUCCACGUACACCACCCUUCAAUUCAUUCAUGUGACCGGAUUCUUCCUGGAUGCUGGACAAGAACUCAGAGAAAUGGAAAUCCUUGGAGAAUGUCCGUCUCCAUGAUAUUUGGUACCUGGCAUAUCUAAACCCAGGACAAGUGUUCACAGCACAGCAAUCAAAACUUCUCAGGCCACUGUGAAAGGUGAAGAUGUUUGCUAGAGCUAGAGAAACACAAACUGCAAAGUGACAACCGGAGAUGCUGAUCAGUGGUGCAGAUUCAUUUCAAACGUGAGUGAGAUGUCUUAAGCUUUGCCUUCUCAGGACUAAAGACUGCAGAACGCUGACUCGGUACCUACGACUUCCAACACCAACAUUGGUGCCAUUCUCCAAGUCAAAGAGAGCAAGUUGCAAAUAAAAUUUGGAAUUGAGGUUUCAGGUGAAAGAAAGGUGAGUGUGUUCAUCUCACACUAUGAUUUGAUGCUACUAGGUCUAGAAGUAAUCACUGUAAAAACUGUAGGAAAUAUUUCUGAGUACUUUCAUUCAUACAUUUAAUCAAUCAUUUACUCUUAAAAACACUUUUUAAACUUUCAGUGAUAUGCCAGAUAUGGGCUAAUACUGUGAAUACAGAAGAGAAGAGGUCUGAUCCACUGCCUGGCUUACAG
rnacentral:lncRNA from 1 species